CUACGGGUCGCUGCAGUGGGGAAUAUUGGACAAUGGGGGAAACCCUGAUCCAGCAAUGCCGCGUGUGUGAAGAAGGCCUGCGGGUUGUAAAGCACUUUCGGUUGGGAGGACUGCUUCUAGCACUAAUAUUGUUGGAAGUUGACGUUACCUUCAGAAGAAGCACCGGCUAACUCCGUGCCAGCAGCCGCAGUAAUACGGAGGGUGCAAGCGUUAAUCGGAAUUACUGAGCGUAAAGCGCGCGUAGGCGGCUAGAUCAGUCGGGUGUGAAAGCCCCGGGCUUAACCUGGGAACUGCAUCCGAUACUGUCUAGCUUGAGUACAGGAGAGGAGAGUGGAAUUCCACAUGUAGCGGUGAAAUGCGUAGAUAUGUGGAGGAACACCAAUGGCGAAGGCAGCUCUCUGGCCUGAUACUGACGCUGAGGUGCGAAAGCGUGGGGAGCAAACAGGAUUAGAUACCCGCGUAGUC
rnacentral:rRNA from 1 species